UUGUCUAAUGGUUUUCAUCUUGCUGAAUCAGGAGAACAUCAAGAAUUGCUGAAUCAGGAGAACAUCAAGAAUCGCUGAGCUCAAGACUCAGCACAAUUUCUUCCUUUUCAAGCCGAAUAAAUAUUCAUGAAGCCCCCGUCCUUGAUCAUUGCCGGCAUAAUAUGCUCUUUCACUUCAUACUCGCUAUCUUUCUCGUGAUCAUUAUUGCCAACCUAAAAUCCUUGAUUUUGCUGAUAUUGUCCCUCAUGCCCGAAAACUCAACUUGAAUUCUGCAUUGAGUAGAAUAGAAAGAAUAUGAACCAAAAGUGCUGUUACGCCAGAAAUAAAAGGUUCCACACGAGCUCCUUAAGGGUCGUCUGGAGUGAAAUACAAGCUGUACUUGUGUGCUCAUGGCUUUGCUGCAGAUGGUCAACCGCUCCUAGGCAUUUUGUUCGUAUCGUCUUCUUAAUGGGUUCCAUUCUCUUCAUCAAUUAAUAUGUCAUCUUCCAUUGGGCUUUGUUAAUUGUGCUGGUACAAACGGAUAAGAGUAGUUGGUUCUUCGAUUUUGAGUUCAUUAGCGUGACAUUGGCUCUGCGGCAUUGGUAUGAGAACUCUGAGAUGGUGUAAAUGUUCUGUUGGGAUGUCUUUUUGCUUUGGUGGCAAACUCCUCUGCUGAAGGUGUUCCAACUAGUGGUCCAAUGCUUUAUUUAUUGGGCAGUGUCUCUUUGUUCUCUUAUGAUCAUUUUUGUGAUCAUUUUUCCCUAUAUGUCCGGAGUUCUGCAUAUAACUUGGUUACUGAAGACAAUUUGUUCAGUCAAUACUAUCCAGCGCAAAUGGAGAAUUGAUUGUUAGAAGUCUGCACUUUACUGUCAGGUCAACUAGAAUGAAAUACAAACUCCACUUGUGUGCUCAUGGAUUCGGUUGCAGAUGGUCAACCACUCCUAUUCACUUCUUCUCAAUCGGUGCUCUCUCUUCAUCUGUGUCGGACUGGCUUAAGGGCAACUAAUGUUUGUUGACAUUUUGAGUUUAGAUAUCAAUCAAUUAACAUUGAACAAGCUCAAUCUUGAUUCUGCCCUUUUUAGUUCUACAAUGUUUUUGGUUGACUUUAUCAAACUGGAGAUGGCUGCUUUGUGGAGGUAUUGGUGACACUUUAACCUUGUGAGUUUUUCUAGUAGGAGAAAGUUAACUAUUGAUCUGUUGCCACUAUUGAGUCACUUUUUUGUGCACUAACAUAUUGGAUUGCUAGUUGGAUGUUAUCCCCAACCCAUCACAAGAGCAAAUAGUUGAUGUUGUUCAGAGGCAUUUCAUGUCGCAGGUCAUUUUGGGGUUUGUUCAGGCUGGAAAGCGAUUGAAGACUGUGCAAAUGACCUGGAGAGAAAUGGGGAGAUCUUUGAAUUUGGUUUUCUAUGCUAGCUGAUGAUACUAGUACCUAAUUGUCCAGUUCCCUCUGCAGUGAUGUCUGUAACAUAUUUAUCUGCGGCUUUUUUUUGUCUAUCGUUUUUGGUUACUAGGUGAGAAAAUACAAAAAGAAAGAAAAGCAUUAAGUAUCAAAAACAGUUUUCACCUACCAUUUAUUUACAGGUAUUUCAUAAUACACUCGAGGAAGGAACUGCUCAAUGGCAUUGCCCAGCUGACAAUCAAAGAAUUGCUCCAUUAAAGUAGUCUUGUCGAGGAACAAGUAUGAUCUUGGAUUGGCCCCUUCGCAUGACCAAGAAAGGGGGGAAAAAGUCCUUGCUACUAUAAGGCUUCUAAACUCUCCCCUCAAGGCACUGUUGCACCACCCAUGUCUCCUAAUGAAAAUUAAGCCCUUUCUUAAUACUUUCCAUUCAUAGUCUGGGAGUGGUAUGUGGAAGCGCAUAGCUGACGCUACUUUUCAACAUUGCACAGUAUGUCUGUUAUUAGAAAUCCCAUUAAUUCAAUGCUUAGUAGAAUAAGUUAUUUUUCUUUUUCCCCACCCAUCCCUGUUAUUUUUCUGAAUUUGAUUCUGUUUCCUAUGAAAUUUGUAUCCUAGCAGCUCCUUUUAGAACCAUCUCUUCUAUGUAGUUCCCCUAAAAGCUCCGAAGUGGUAUAAACGUUCCAUUAGUGUCUAUUUUUGCUUUGGAGGCAAGCUCUUCCCUGCAUGUGUUCCAGCUGGUGGUUUAGAGUUUUAUAUGCACAACUUAGUUACCAAUCGAUGAUAGUUUGGUCAAUCAAUUGGCAAAAUCUGAUACAAGUUUGUCAAGCUCAGUGUUCACUUUGCUAUUGGGGAUACUGCCCAAGGUUCAGAACAAUUGCAACAAGAACCAGAUGGGUUUGAGGAAUGUGUUGACACAACAUUUGAUGAUGAUGUUCAAUGUUCUUUAAUUGUUGGAGAUUACAAAGGGACAGUUGCACAAGGAAUAUCUAAAGGUACGUAAUAAGGAACAUAUCAAGAAUGUUACCAUAAGCUUGUUCAGCACUAUCAAGCUUUGGACAAUGGCAAUUUCUUUAUUGCUCUUCAAAUGCAGGUUCAGAUACUACAUACGACUAGCGAGUGGGAAGAAUGUAAGUGUUGGCUAGCUAGCUAGCUAGCUAGCUAUACUAAAGCAAAUGAUCAAGAUAGGGCAGGAUGUGAGACUGAAGCAAAGAAUGUGCAGAUUCUAAUUUCCGGUAUCUAAUUUCAAGAUAGGGCAGGAUUUAGGGCACCUCCUGAGAGCUCCAUUCCAAUUUCUCUCUAUGAAAAGUUUGCUUGGCUACAACCAUAACUCUUAACUGAGUGGAUGGAGUUAACUUGGCGUUAUUGUAGUCCUUUUUCUGGAUAACACACGCAAAUGUAGGUGUUAUGAGCAGCCAAUUUGAUGAUCUUUGUUGGUACAAGUUAAUGCUCAGAUACUGAUAUAUAUUUAAGAAAGAAAAUUAUGCUCCGGUAGCAUAGAAAGAACAUAUGCAUUGAGAAUUGAAGUGAAAUUCGGGCAGAAGAAAUUAAAUGUUACAAGCUAUUGGGAAGUGAAAUUUCUUAUUGUUUUCCCCCUGUUUUUAUAAGACAUUUUUUAUAUAGACAGACUGACUUUUCUACUAGUUUUACUAAAUACAUUAA